rnacentral:sRNA from 1 species
CAGAGAAGACAAGGGCAGAAAGCACCAUGAGUGGGGGCCCAAUGGGAGGAAGGCCCGGGGGCCGAGGAGCACCAACGGUUCAGCAGAACAUACCCUCCACCCUCCUCCAGGACCACGAGAACCAGCGACUCUUUGAGAUGCUUGGACGAAAAUGCUUGACGCUGGCCACUGCAGUUGUUCAGCUGUACCUGGCGCUGCCCCCUGGAGCUGAGCACUGGACCAAGGAGCAUUGUGGGGCUGUGUGCUUCGUGAAGGAUAACCCCCAGAAGUCCUACUUCAUCCGCCUUUACGGCCUUCAGGCUGGUCGGCUGCUCUGGGAACAGGAGCUGUACUCACAGCUUGUCUACUCCACCCCCACCCCCUUCUUCCACACCUUCGCUGGAGAUGACUGCCAAGCAGGGCUGAACUUUGCAGACGAGGACGAGGCCCAGGCCUUCCGGGCCCUCGUGCAGGAGAAGAUACAAAAAAGGAAUCAGAGGCAAAGUGGAGACAGACGCCAGCUACCCCCACCACCAACACCAGCCAAUGAAGAGAGAAGAGGAGGGCUCCCACCCCUGCCCCCGCAUCCAGGUGGAGACCAAGGAGGCCCUCCAGUGGGUCCGCUCUCCCUGGGGCUGGCGACAGUGGACAUCCAGAACCCUGACAUCACGAGUUCACGAUACCGUGGGCUCCCAGCACCUGGACCUAGCCCAGCUGAUAAGAAACGCUCAGGGAAGAAGAAGAUCAGCAAAGCUGAUAUUGGUGCACCCAGCGGAUUCAAGCAUGUCAGCCACGUGGGGUGGGACCCCCAGAAUGGAUUUGACGUGAGUAACUUCAGAGUCUCUUGGACUCCACUAAACUUCCACCCACCCUUCCAAAGACCACUGCUGAGACCCCACCCCCAGACCGUGCCCUUCCCACACCCC